AGAGCGAACGCUGGCGGCAGGCCUAAAACAUGCAAGUCGAACGAACCUUUCGGGGUUAGUGGCGGACGGGUGAGUAACACGUGGGAACGUGCCCUUUGGUUCGGAACAACUCAGGGAAACUUGAGCUAAUACCGGAUGUGCCCUUCGGGGGAAAGAUUUAUCGCCAUUGGAGCGGCCCGCGUCUGAUUAGCUAGUUGGUGAGGUAAAGGCUCACCAAGGCGACGAUCAGUAGCUGGUCUGAGAGGAUGAUCAGCCACACUGGGACUGAGACACGGCCCAGACUCCUACGGGAGGCAGCAGUUAGGAAUCUUGCGCAAUGGGCGAAAGCCUGACGCAGCCAUGCCGCGUGAAUGAUGAAGGUCUUAGGAUUGUAAAAUUCUUUCAGCAGGGAAGAUAAUGACGGUACCUGCAGAAGAGCUCCGGCUAACUCGCGCCAGCAGCCGC
rnacentral:rRNA from 1 species